rnacentral:rRNA from 1 species
UACGGGGGGGGCAAGCGUUGUUCGGAAUUACUGGGCGUAAAGGGCUCGUAGGCGGCCAACUAAGUCGGACGUGAAAUCCCCAGGCUCAACCUGGGAACUGCGUCUGAUACUGGAUGGCUUGAAUCCGGGAGAGGGAUGCAGAAUUCCAGGUGUAGCGGUGAAAUGCGUAGAUAUCAGGAAGAACACCAAUGGCGAAAGCAGCUCUCUGGGACGGUACUGACGCUGAGACGCGAAAGCGUGGGGAGCGAACAGG